rnacentral:lncRNA from 1 species
AGCAGCUGUAAAUAACACAGUGCUAUUCGAGCCAAUUGCUCUGAACCGGGUGAUAUGAUCAUAUUCUUUUUAACGACUUUCUCUGAGGUAUGAGUUGAGAUUUUUCUCCUUCAUCCUCAUGCUGUAUAAUCUGGAUUUAUGUUCAACGUGACCGUUGAGCCUUCACAAUGAAUUUGUCCUGUGAAAAGAUCAGUUGAUACGGAGCCUGGAUCCCAGAUUCUCACCACAGAGUGGGCGCUCAUUAUUUGCACGUCAGCAUCUAAGUCAUCAAUCUCUAGCAGCCACACUCACCCAGAUGAAGCUCCAAACCCAGGGCAUGAAUCUGAAGGCAUAUUGAGCUGAAACAGCUACGUCAUUUUUUAACUGUGAGGGGAGAAUCUGAGAAUCUGAGAAGAUGAGAAUGGAGCCAAGAUAGCAUAAAGUGGAUCCAAGAAAUGGAGAGAAAGAAACACUUUGUCAGGAAUAUUGAGUGACAUAGAUGAGCACAUUAAUGGAGAGGGAGAGGUAAGAACAAUGUAUUACAAUGAGAUGAAUUUCUUGACUAAAAUGACAUAUCUGAAUAUUUCUAUUAUUUUUCAAUUUUUAUGCCAAUUUCUAUUUGACAAUGUCGUACUAGCAUUAUAGUUUUGAAAAGUCAGGGCUUUGAAAUUAAUAUAUUUUAGUUUUUAAUCCACACUAGCUGGUUCACAUUAAAAGUGAUUAAGCCUUUUUUUAGCCUCAAGUUUCUCUUCUGUAAAAUAAGGACAAAAACACAGCAUUCUUAAAAUUAUUGAAAAUCAUAAGGUAAAUGAACAGCUUAAAAUCAAACAGACUUUGGAGCCAAAUAAGCGCUAAGUAAGCGGAACUUGUAAGAUAGACAGUCUACCUCUGUUCAAAUUCUUGGUGGUGAAUUAUCCACCACCAGAAAAGGCAGUGCACAUCCCAUUUUUUCAGGUCUUUAUGCUGUGUUGACUUGACUGUGCUGACUUGACUGUGCUACAGCCCAUAGCUUUUCAAUCAAACACUGAUCUAUGUGUUUCUAGGAGGUUAUUUUGCAGAUGCGAUUAUGGCCCAUAAUCAGCUGCUUUCAGAUAAAUUAUCCUAUGUAACCUAGGUGGGCCUGUUUCAAUCCAGGGAAAGGCCUUAAAAGCAGAGCUGAUUGAGACUUUCCUCAUGAAGAAAUUCCUGUAGACAGCAGGCAACAUCAGCUCCUAACCAGGGGUUCCAGCCUGCCCUUCCCGACUGCCUGUCAUAUGGAUUUUGAUUGCCUAACCAAUCCCCACAGUUGCAUAGGCCAAUUCUUUACAAUGAAUCUUUGAAUAUAUAUAUCUCCUACUGAUUCUGUAUCUUUGCCUGUACCUUGACUAAUACAAGGCCCAAGCAUGAAUUCAUUCAGCAAAUAGGAAAAGUUUUCUGUAUACUAAGAAUUGUUCUAGUUACCAAGGAUGCUAUAGAGAACAAACUAGAUAUUGCCCUGAUCAUCAUUUGAACUAAU